GGGCCCGUAGCUCAGCUAGGUUAGAGCGGCGGGCUCAUAACCCGCGGGUCGCCGGUUCGAGUCCGGUCGGGCCCACCA
rnacentral:tRNA from 1 species